CAGUCGCCGCGGGAAUACGAAGGGUGCAAGCGUUACUCGGAAUUACUGGGCGUAAAGCGUGUGUAGGUGGUUGUUUAAGUCUGUCGUGAAGGCCCUGGGCUCAACCUGGGAAUUGCGAUGGAUACUGGGCGACUAGAGUGCGGUAGAGGAUAGUGGAAUUUCCGGUGUAGCAGUGAAAUGCGUAGAGAUCGGAAGGAACAUCUGUGGCGAAGGCGACUACCUGGGCCAACACUGACACUGAGACACGAAAGCGUGGGGAGCAAACAGGAUUAGAUACCCCCGUAGUCCCUGUCUCUUAUAC
rnacentral:rRNA from 1 species